CCUACGGGAGGCAGCAGUGAGGAAUAUUGCACAAUGGGGGAACCCUGAUGCAGCAACGCCGCGUGGGUGAUGAAGGCCUUCGGGUCGUAAAACCCUUUUCUGGAGGACGAGAAAGGACGGUACUCCAGGAAUAAGUCCCGGCUAACUACGUGCCAGCAGCCGCGGUAAAACGUAGGGGGCGAGCGUUAUCCGGAUUUACUGGGCGUAAAGCGCGUGUAGGCGGCUUGGUAAGUUGGACGUGAAAGCUCCUGGCUUAACUGGGAGAGGCCGUUCAAUACUGCCAGGCUUGAGGUCGGAAGAGGGGAGUGGAAUUCCCGGUGUAGUGGUGGAAUGCGUAGAUAUCGGGAGGAACACCUGUGGCGAAGGCGGCCUCCUGGGUCGUUCCUGACGCUCAGACGCGAAAGCUAGGGGAGCGAACGGGAUUAGAUACCCUGGUAGUCCACGCCCUAAACGGUGGGCACUAGGUGUAGGGCUCGUAAGGGUUCUGUGCCGAAGCGAAAGCAUUAAGUGCCCCGCCUGGGGAGUACGGCCGCAAGGCUAAAACUUAAAGGAAUUGACGG
rnacentral:rRNA from 1 species